UAAGUAAAAAAAAAUCCACAGAGGGGAAGAAAGAGAGUUAGAAACUAUUUAUUAGGGAACUAAUUUAGAGUAACUAAUUUCUUCACCAGUAAUGGGAGAGAGCCUGGACUGACGACAGCUCAGCGACUGCACUGCUUGAUCCACGUGAGAAGGACGGGGCAAGGAACAGAAGCCAGCCUGCCGUUGUUCUGGGAGAUUGCUCUGCACUGUCACAGAUAGAGCAAGUUAUUUUAGAAAAGGUCUUUACAGCUUAAGGAUUCCCUGUUCAAAUACCCACUUUGCUAAACUCUGGGGGAGGAAGGUGCUCCUGGUCCAAGGUCAGUGGCACUGAAGUGCUGAGGCAAAGGGACAGGAGCAGCUUUUUGUCAGAAGAACAAGCCCAUGUCCCUGGGGAAGGGAUUUUUCUGCAUUUGAAUUCACUAAAUCCGAAGUCAGAAGGAGCUUUCAGAAGCAAAGGCUGAUUUCUGGAAGGAUCAGUCAGAGAAUCCUGGCCUUGGCCUGGGAGCUCUUGUUGCUCAUGGAGACAAACUGUGCUGGACUGCAGCUCCCUCUUAGCUCUGCAACUCACCUUUCAAAUCAAAUCACCUCAUGUUGGAAUAUCUCAGCAUACAGAGACCACAGAGCCAUGCUUGCCUUUGGAGGGUACGCUCACAGCCUGGCUUCCAGAGGUUCUGGAGGCAUCUCUCUUGCAGCCAGUGUCCUCCUGUCCAAGCCAUGGAGGUGCCACCUCCAGUUAUGUUGUUUAUAAACAAAUAAAACAGGCAACUUCCACCCUUUCUCUGCUUUUUAA